ensembl:lncRNA
CAGCACAGGAGAAGUCAGUCUAGUCAGUCUGUCGACACUCCUCCCCACCCUCGUCGUCUGUGAAAAACAGCCCAUUCAAGCCAAAACAAACGAUCGCCACCAAAACAAAAGAUCGCCAGCCCCGCCCGCUCCUCUCCCCCCGCCCGACGCAAAUAAUCAACACAAGGUCAUUAUCAUCGUUCCAGUGGUUUGCCUCUGCAGGUUGAUGAAACAGAUACAACGCUUGAUCUGAGCCCUAGGACCAUGCCUCAAGACUACCUGCCAUGAUGACUCCUUGCUGUCCCCAGUCCACCUGGCCGUGCUGCUGCUCCAGUUUCAACUGUUCUGC